AGCACUUGCAUGUGCUGGCUAUGGUAAGUCCGACGUGCUCCCGAAAGCACUGCCCUCUCGGGCUUGGGAUUAC
rnacentral:ncRNA from 1 species